AGAGCCAAUCUAGGAGACAUGCCGGUGGGGUUUAAAGCUGGGGAGGUGAUGCGAAAAGCACACACAGGCAAAUCGAGCAGGAUGUUCAAGCCUUUGGUUUCUGUCCCUUACAUUUCUAAGCUCCUGCGAGGUUUCUUGCCCCGCCCCCGUUCCUCGUGUGUCCCUUAUUCUUGCACCACCUGGCUGCGCCUCCCCUUCGCUGGCACAAUUCUCCCAACUCCAGCGGGGCCGCCUGCCUUUCCCCGGCGCCAGCACCACGUGGAGACACUUCACGGGAUUCAGUGAAGUCUGAUCAUGUUCACUAGACAACCGGGAGCAUCAGAUGUGUGCUUACGCUGCAUCUACAGUCCUGCCCCAAGGGACGUUUCCAGCUGUUGUGCCUUCCGGUAUCUCCUCAGGCCCUUUCUGUAUUCUCACUCUGGUUCCCUCCUGCCAACACAGGACAGACCCGAACCCUGGGACCAGCUGGCCCCUGGACCUGCUCGCCAGCAGACAAAUGGAACCUUCAGGAUACCGUGGAUCCCAAAUGUAUUAGAAACGGUGCCCCCACCCCAACCCCACCAAUGAUCUGAAAUGAACUCUGAGCUCUGUCUUAGGUAGAC
ensembl:lncRNA